AUAGCGUAUAUUAAAGUUGUUGCAGUUAAAAAGCUCGUAGUUGAAUUUCAGCUCUGGCUGGGCGGUCCACCUUUGGAUGGUACUGCUCUGGCUGGGGUUUACCUUUCUGGUGAGCCGCUAUGCCCUUUGCUGGGUGUGGCGGGGAACCAGGACUUUUACCUUGAAAAAAUUAGAGUGUUUAAAGCAGGCCAAUUGCUUGAAUACAUUAGCAUGGAAUAAUGGAAUAGGACCUCGGUUCUAUUUUGUUGGUUUCUAGGACCGAAGUAAUGAUUAAUAGGGAUAGUUGGGGGCAUUAGUAUUUAGUAGCUAGAGGUGAAAUUCUUGGAUUUACGAAAGACUAACUUCUG
rnacentral:rRNA from 1 species